rnacentral:tRNA from 1 species
AGCAGCAUGUCUGAAGUUUGGUCAUCAGGGGGCGCUCAUAACGCUCUGCAAUUGCCUCGUGGGUUCGAAUCCCUCUGCUGCUUCCA